UAUGUGAUCGUCUCUCGCAUAUCAAUAAGCGGAGGAAAAGAAACUAACAAGGAUUCCCCUAGUAACGGCGAGUGAAGCGGGAAGAGCUCAAAUUUGAAAUCUUAAAGGGUUUCCCUUUACGAAUUGUAGUUUAAAGAAGUGUUUUCUGUUGAGGUUUUGGUAAAAGUUCUUUGGAAUAGGACAUCAUAGAGGGUGAGAAUCCCGUAUUUGACCUUUACUUUCAACUUUGUGAUACACUUUCAAAGAGUCGGAUUGUUUGGGAAUGCGGUCCAAAAUGGGUGGUAAAUUUCAUCUAAAGCUAAAUAUUGGCGAGAGACCGAUAGCGAACAAGUACCGUGAGGGAAAGAUGAAAAGAACUUUGAAAAGAGAGUUAAACAGUACGUGAAAUUGUCAAAAGGGAAGCGUUUGACACCAGUGUUGUUUUUCUGAAAAUCAAUUAAAGAACUGUUUAUGCUAAGCUGUUUAGACUUUAUCAGCUAUCUGUUUAGUUUUGAGCUUUUCCUUAAUGCACUUUUCAGUUAACAAGUCAACAUCAAUUUCUUUUGCUGUAAAAAAGCUUGAGGAAGGUGGCUUGAGAUUCGUCUUAAGUGUUUAUAGCCUCUUGCCUAUGCAGUCGGAGAGAUUGAGGUCUGCAGCGUAGAUCCUUCGGGGCUAAAUGCAUUUGUGCUAAGUUAUAACAUUUUAUAGACAACUUGUUGACUAUGAUUUGUCUUGUAGCUUACUCGCUUAUGUUAUUUUACCUACGCUUAGGAUGUUGAAGUCAUCGUAUCGCGC
rnacentral:rRNA from 1 species